AACAAAUAUCCCAUACAAACAAGGAAAACACAGCCUGGCCGAAUGCUGUCUGAUAGAUUUCAUACCUACUAUUAAACCGUUCUUUACAUACUGAGUUUGACGUUGGAUUACUCCGUUUACCCGAUCAAGAUAUACAAUGUAGAUAUCACAGGAGAUAUUAAGUCCUGGCACGUGGUGUAUUCAGUGGUUUGUGUUUAUCCUGUUCUAAAUUAUGAGUGGAAUAUAUCGCUAUCCGUUCUCUUCACGCUCCAUUUAAUUUUCACAACAGCCACCCGAUAAACAGCAUCUUUCCGGUAUGAGAGAAUCAACAAGGAAGGGAUCAUGGCUUGCACAUAUCCAGAAACUAGCGAUGGGAUGAUUGCUGGUUAAUGUUAACUUCAUUCCUUGAAUGAAAGCCUCUCUCCUCUUGUCUCAACACAUUCCAGUACAGCUAUAUAUAGAAUUGAUCAUGGGAAUUUUUUAACCUGGUGGACGGGAAAAUGGCUAUCCAGGAAGUACAACACACCUAUAAGCAAGUGAGUGGGUUUUACAAAGUUAGGAAAUGAAAAUUGCCUACAGUGUUUUAUAAAAGGAAUUCAGAAUUAUUGGAAUUUCCUGCAAAAAUUUGAUAAUUAUAAUUGACUGUUGAUAACUUACAAUUAACGCCGCAUAAAAGUAAGCGUUGACAAUAUCAAGCUCUAACUUCCUACUGUGCAGCUACGUAAA